rnacentral:rRNA from 1 species
GACGAACGCUGGCGGCGUGCUUAACACAUGCAAGUCGGGCGAUGAAGCUCUUUCGGGAGUGGAUUAGCGGCGGACGGGUGAGUAACACGUGGGUAACCUACCUCAAAGAGGGGGAUAGCCUCCCGAAAGGGAGAUUAAUACCGCAUAAUAAUCAGUUUUCACAUGGGAAUUGAUUUAAAGGAGUAAUCCGCUUUGAGAUGGACCCGCGGCGCAUUAGCUAGUUGGUAGGGUAACGGCCUACCAAGGCGACGAUGCGUAGCCGACCUGAGAGGGUGAUCGGCCACAUUGGAACUGAGAGACGGUCCAGACUCCUACGGGAGGCAGCAGUGGGGAAUAUUGCACAAUGGGCGAAAGCCUGAUGCAGCAACGCCGCGUGAGUGAAGAAGGUUUUCGGAUUGUAAAGCUCUGUCUUUGGGGACGAUAAUGACGGUACCCAAGGAGGAAGCCACGGCUAACUACGUGCCAGCCGCCGCAGUAA